UUUUUUCCUGUGUGAAGUAGGCCUGGGUGAUUAUGUGAUCGUGAUCGAUGAUCAUGAGAAAUUUCAGGUUGAUUACAAUGAUCAGCUCUGAGCAUAUUUCUCGAUUACACGUGCACAUUGUUGCAAUACACAUAUAAUACAGUAGGUGGCGCUAAUGCAACACUACAGAUGCAAACCACCAUUAUACUUGAAGAAGAA